UUUUUGUUGUUUUUUUG
rnacentral:sRNA from 1 species